UCAAAGUGAGUGUGUUUUGUGUUUGUAAGAGAAUUGCGAUUCUCGUUUGUUGAGGAACUUGUGAUUCCUCGUUUGAAGUCUUUGGGAUUGUUAUCCCCGAGCAGUUGAAGUCUUUGGGAUUGUUAUCCCCGAGAAAUUGAAGUCUUUGGGAUUGUUAUCCCCGAGCAAUUGAAGUCUUUGGGAUUGGUAUCCCCGAGCAAUUGAAGUCUUUGGGAUUGUGAUCCCCG
rnacentral:lncRNA from 1 species